rnacentral:rRNA from 1 species
UUGGAGGGCAAGUCUGGUGCCAGCAGCCGCGGUAAUUCCAGCUCCAAUAGCAUAUAUUAAAGUUGUUGCAGUUAAAAAGCUCGUAGUUGAACUUCAGAUCUGGCUGGGCGGUCUGCUUAACGGCAUGUACUGUCUGGCUGGGUCUUACCUCUUGGUGAGCCGGUGUGCCCUUUAUUGGCGUGCAUCGGGGAACCAGGACUUUUACCUGAGAAAAUUAGAGUGUUCAAAGCAGGCCUAUGCCCGAAUACAUUAGCAU